ACUGCUAGUUACAUCAUGAACCUGAGGAGAAGGCUGAGUUUUUGCAGAAGCUGUAACCAGUGUGAUACCUCAAACUGGAUCAAGAUAUUUGGAGACGGAACUAAGCUCAUAGUAACUCCCUCUGAUAGACGCCUUCCUGCAGACACUUCUCCCAAGCCCACCAUUUUUCUUCCUUCAAUUGCUGAAAUCAACCUCCACAAGGCUGGAACACAUCUUUGUCUUCUUGAGAAUUUUUUCCCAGAUGUUAUCAAGGUAUAUUGGAAAGAAAAGAAUGGCAAUACAAUUCUGGAGUCCCAGGAGGGAAAAACCAUGAAGAUCAGUGACACAUACAUGAAACUCAGCUGGCUGACCGUGACUGAAGAGUCAAUGGAUAAAGAACACAAAUGUAUCGUCCAACACGAGAAAAAUAAAGGAGGGGUUGACCAAGAGAUUCUCUUUCCUUCAGUAAAUCAAGUUGUCGCCUCAAUGACCACCACUAUUGCUCCUACAACGGCUGCUACGACAGAGGAAAGGAUUGUCACUGUUACUAAUGGUACAACAGCUUCCCCAACAGAGCAAAGUGUUGUCACCUCAAUGGCCACUACCGUUGGUUCUACGAUGGCUUCUCCGACAGAUACAAGCAAUGUCCCUGCCAUUAUUUCCAGAAAAGUUUGUCUGAAAGAUGAAAUAUCCCCCCUGCAGCUGCAGCUCAGCAACGUCUCUGCCUAUUACACCUACCUCCUCCUCCUCCUCAAGGGUGCCAUCUAUUUUUCCAUCAUCGCCUUCCGUCUGUUCAGGAGAACAGAAGACUGUGACAUGGUAACAGUUUGUAACAGACGGCGGCAGAAGGAAGUCAGCUAGUCUUCAUUUAUUUUCCCUAAAAAUGACCCCUGAGGAUCUAACUGGGCUUUCUUUCUGAGUUUGGGUUAUUUCAGUUCACAUGUGUACUUUUUGUUAUGUCAUUAUUGUGUAAUGGUUUUUCAAACCACCGGGCAAACAGACAGUCUUACUCUGUAACAACAAUGAAUUCUGCCAUCACUCAGCGGCAGGGCCACGGGGUAGUCCUUUAGCACCACUGUCUCCAUGAUCUCCAUCAGCUCCUCCGGCAACCCAAAUAACCAUGCCUGCUGAGUACAGACAGCAUGCAGCUCUAGUCACAUCCCUUAGGGCCAUUUAACCAGAACCGCCUUGAAGCCUUGCAUUUUAUGCAUCCUGAACCUGACACUUUUGCUACUUGAAUUCUAAGCUUUGUUUUUCGUAAU